rnacentral:rRNA from 1 species
GACGAACGCUGGCGGCGUGCUUAACACAUGCAAGUCGAACGAAGAGCGAUGGAAGCUUGCUUCUAUCUAUCUUAGUGGCGCACGGGUGCGUAACGCGUAAUCAACCUGCCCUUCCGAGGGGGACAACAGUUGGAAACGACUGCUACUACCGCAUACGAUCUAAUCUCGGCAUCGAGGAUAGAUGAAAGGUGGCCCCUACAUGUAAGCUAUCACGGAAGGACGGGAUUGCGUCUGAUUAGAUAGUUGGAGGGGUAACGGCCCACCAAGGCGAUGAUCAGUAGCCGGUCUGAGAGGAUGAACGGCCACAUUGGGACUGAGACACGGCCCAGACUCCUACGGGAGGCAGCAGUAGGGAAUCUUCCGCAAUGGACGAAAGUCUGACGGAGCAACGCCGCGUGAGUGAUGACGGCCUUCGGGUUGUAAAGCUCUGUUAAUCGGGACGAAAGGCCUUCUUGCGAAUAGUGAGAAGGAUUGACGGUACCGGAAUAGAAAGCCACGGCUAACUACGUG